GACAGAGGGUGCAAGCGUUGUUCGGAAUUACUGGGCGUAAAGCGCGUGUAGGCGGCUAUGUAAGUCGGGCGUGAAAUCCCACGGCUCAACCGUGGAAGUGCACUCGAAACUGCGUAGCUAGAGUCCUGGAGAGGAAGGUGGAAUGCUUGGUGUAGAGGUGAAAUUCGUAGAUAUCAAGCGGAACACCGGUGGCGAAGGCGGCCUUCUGGACAGUGACUGACGCUGAGACGCGAAAGCGUGGGGAGCAAACAGG
rnacentral:rRNA from 1 species